UACGGAGGAUGCGAGCGUUAUCCGGAUUUAUUGGGUUUAAAGGGUGCGUAGGCGGGCUUUUAAGUCAGCGGUAAAAAUUCGGGGCUCAACCCCGUCCGGCCGUUGAAACUGGGGGUCUUGAGUGGGCGAGAAGAAGGCGGAAUGCGUGGUGCAGCGGUGAAAUGCAUAGAUAUCACGCAGAACCCCGAUUGCGAAGGCAGCCUUCCGGCGCCCUACUGACGCUGAGGCACGAAAGUGCGGGGAUCGAACAGG
rnacentral:rRNA from 1 species